CACAGCUGGGCCCUGCGCAGAUGAGCGAAGGGUCCCGAGCUGACAGCUGCCACCAUGGCACAGAGCCCUGUGGGGACCACGUGGGGACCCCACCCCAGCUCUGGGGAAGGGAGCGGUCUUUGGCAGGCAGGACAGAGGGAGCAGGGGUCUUGUCCCCAGGGCUCAGCGCACGCAGUUGGGGGGUGGGAGAGAGAAGAGAGGGGAAGGAGACACGGUCAGGGCACCUGGGAGCGGCAGCUGGGGGACCCGGCUGGCCAAGGCACAGAGACUAGGGAUGCCGCUUGUCUCCGGCAGGAUGAGGAGCCGCAGCACCCCAGGCCCUGGGUCUCUCGCACGCCCUGCCCGAGGGGCCCCGCACCAGCCACUCACCAAUGCGGGUCGAGCGGGGGCACCUCCGACCUCCGUCAGCCAUGAGAGAUGCUGGGAUUUCCUGGGGCAGACAGAGCACAGGCCAGGUGGUUCCUCAAGUCUGGGGUGGGUAUAACUGGAGACGAUGGAGCAGGAAGCACCCGCCUAUCAGCAAAGGAGACAUUUGCUUUGGAUACGAGUAGCAGAGCGAACCGCAAAGGCUGGAAGGAAAUACAGGAACAUAAACAGCACCUGAUGACACACAUCCCUGGGUUGAUUAAACCUCAGUCUGGCAAAGGGUCAAGGAACGGGAGAGCUCCGUGUCCACCAUCUCUGCGCCCUGCCUAACACCUGCAUCUUACCCCAUUUGCGUGACCUACGGGACAAGUGGCAGAGGGGGGGUUGGUCCCCUCCUCCCCCCAAGAUCACCUAAUUGCCUUUCCUGCUGUCUUUGGGAAGUUCCAAGAUAUCGGCUCAGACAGAACCCUCUCCCCACAGGCAGGUGCCUCGGAUUGAGGAUUCAGAUUGACCCGGCCUUUGCAACUGACCUGUGCUGCUGUCUCAGGGGACACAGCCCAUUGGCUGCAGGUUGAAACUACAGAGCUUGUACCUUCAUGCUGCUCUUCAGCAACUCUGGAUUACUCCGGUUGAGCCCUCUCCCCCACUUGCUGCAUACACGUGGAGAGUUACAGUUCUAAGUUAACCACGAGUACUGCUGUUGAGCACAACGAUCACCACACCUCUCUGAUUCACGUACCAAGGAGUUAGUGACAUCAGUGAUACAAUAGUUCAACUGACACCAGCGAAAUGGAAUUACCACUUCAUUCUCUGCCAAUUUACAGAGCUGUUUGUUUUAUUGAUGGCAAACUGGAUUGGUGACUGUGGGGGCCAAUUAUCGCUUCAGUCUCUCGCUACCGAGGAAGCUCAUUUUUGGAGCACGCUGGUGGGUGGUUUCUCCUCCAUGUCCCCCAGUCAUAAGCAUCUCUCACCAGACAGUAUCACAAUACUCUGAGUACCCUUUAAAGCUACUGAACUUUUUACUACUCCUAGCAAGUCAAAGAGAAAAGUGUUUCAGCCUGAAAAAGAAGCCUUGGGACUUUUACACUCCUCAGCCUGCAGCUGUAAUAACCUCAUCACGCCAAUAAAACCCAGGAGACAAGAACUGGACUGGUGAGAUGAUACUGCAGACGCUAAAAAGAUGAUGCAGCUAGAAACUAGCUGACAGGUGACGAUAACAUCAUUGCUCUGAGUUUAAGUGUUACAGUGGAGAUGCCCUCCCAGUGCCAUGUGAUCCAGAAUGGGCAAGAACCAUAUUUCAAGAAAAAGCAGGGUGCAUGCAGUGCAUGCAGUUUGCUACAACAGUACCUGCCAGUGCUGCUCCCACCCUAAAGCAAGAAAACCUGCCCCAGUUCUUGAGAAUUUCAUUUGCUUAAGAAACAAAGUCUUUGCGAGAGAGAAGGAUUCUUUGUGUGAAAGUCAGCAGCGUCCUGGCCAGGACUGUGCAGUGAACAAUUCCCAGUGGGCAAAUCCAUAAUCAUUUAGGCAAAGGCAUGUUUUAACUGACCACCAUUAAGGAAAAGUGUAGCACCUAGUGCCUGAUUACUGUAUCUAAUCUGUAUUGUACAAUCUAUGGGAUAAAUAAUCCCUUACUAGAUGUGUGACUAUAGAACUGCACCAAAGUAACAUCUGAAAUAAUACAGGCAACAGUGAGCGCAUGGAGGCGGCUUGUUGUAUUCCUCAGAGCAGGUCUCUUGUUUCUACACUACAGAAUGAAAUAAUGAACGCUGUCAAUUUAACGCUCUAAGUACAGCCCUCUACACCUAGCUAACCAUGUGGCCUAGGAGCUUCUUGUUCUGUGCUUUAAUUAAAUCUGGAGUUAAGUGCAGUCAGUGCAAACAGUUGAACAAUGGAGACAACCACAAAUGCAUCAGCUCAGAAUUCCCUCCCCCUCCUUUGCGUCACUAUGGUUGAUUCUAGUUUCUCUCUUGCAGAUCAGUCAGCAGUUUUUAAAGCCUCCAUUUCCAACAGCAGCAUUGAUUGCUCUGAUUCUACCCUGUUGCUGGACACAGCAUUUGCUACUUUUGGCUUCCCCUCUCCACUUGGAAGGCAAAGGUCUGGUGCAAGGGGAGGCCCCGUACUCGGCAUGAGAAACAAACU